AGGCCAUUGUCUUUGUUGUUGGAGGUGGAAAUUAUAUUGAAUAUCAGAACAUUGUUGACUACACAAAGAGUAAACCUGGUAAACACGUGUUAUAUGGUUGCAGCGAGCUGUUCAAUGCUAGCCAAUUCCUGAAGCAGCUGUCACAACUUGGAUCUCAGAGCUAAGGCACACAGUUAUUACUCUGAAUAAUUUUUGAGAUGGGAAGAAUACAGACAACAUGUUUUGCUACUCCAAUGUCACAAUUUAUUUACUUAUUUCUUUCUUGAAAUAUUAUAAUACUUAUAAUUCCAUUUUUUGCUAAUUCUUUGAUGCAAUUGGAUGUAAUUUCUGACAUUUUUAACAUCAACCUCUACAUCAUGUAACUGUACAAAUAGUUGAAAUAAAUAUAAAGAUAAAUAAUUGUAGUUUUAAA